AGAAAUGGGUUUAUUUAACAACCUUUAAUUGGGUGUCCAGCAGGAACCAGGCACUGGAGGAUACACAAGCGAAUAAGGUAUCUAUGGUUGGUGUAUUUGCCAACACAGCAUCCACUUUUCUGGGAACAGCACCACAUUAGACUUCACGGUUGUAAUCACAGAAAUUGACAGGUCAACCUUAGCCAAAGGGAACUUCUUGGAAGACUAUUGGCGGGUCUCUACCACAAAUGAACGUUAAAGGAACCAGGCUUGGGGGAUAGGCAGAAACCAAAAGAGAAGCAAUAGCCUGGAUGGAAGUCCAGCAAGGGCUGCCUGGCCAUGGCUAUGAGGGUCUAUGGAUGGCAAUUUACCAGGAGGAAACGUCAGAAGUAAAGGGGAUGAUACCCCUGCUCAGUAUGUAAAAUUCAGCUAAGUCCUUACAAUGGACCUGAUGGGUUAGCAGAAGGGCUGGUUCCUGAAACUGGAAAAGCGUUGAGGAGAAGAGGCCACCAUAAGAAGAGCAGCUUCUUUCUGUUCAGGGACACAGCCCACUUAUGUGACUACAAGAGACGGAGUGAUUGUCUUGACCUCCGACCUGGACUUCCUCCUGGGCAAACCCACCUGGACACCAGAGGCAAUGGGCCCUUCGAUGUAGCCCAUACAGAUCAGCUUGGAGAGCAGGCAGGAAUCAGAGUUCUGGGGCAUGGAGAAGGUGGAAAAAGGAUUGGAUUUGGAAGGAGAAGGGAAGUAUCUAGCACACAGAGGCAUAAGGCCCGAGUCAGGAUUCCUGGGACACUGAACGUUACGGGGAUAAACACAAAGAGCGCAUGGUGGGGACUUAUUCAUGCCACUGAGUGUCCCAAACAGACUGGAGAUUAAAUCCAAGUCCUACGUCCUUGGUGGCACCCUGGAUCAGUUCCUUCCAGUCUCUUCAGUUUCUUCAGCGAUCUCUUUGAUUCUGUGAGCCAUUCUCAAAUGGACACAAGGACACAAAACCCAGGCUCCUCCUGCCUCAGAGUUGUCCCUGUUGACUGCACCUGGAGAAUUCUGGUUGGUACUAGUGUGGUAUGGAUUGGUACUACAGCAUGGGCUGCAGGCCAUAUAGGUCCCCAACAAGAUGGAAUAGAAUGAAUGCGGCAAGAUUCCAUGAACAUUCUGGGGUGAAAACUUAGCCGUCAGUGGUCCACAACUAAUUAAAUAACCAGUAGUUGAUAACAAGGACCACUUGACAACAGACGUGUCUGCCGGAGGCAGGCGGUUGCUGCCUUAGGACAAGAUAAAGGGUAUGAGGAAUUCCAGAACACUGGAGUAGAAUGGGUGCUUCUGAUGACACCGAAUAACUCAAAGAGAACAGAAGUUAAAGGGAAAAACUCACAUUUGGUUCUCUCGGUUAUUGAACUAUGAAGGCUGUCGAGGUCACAGCUUCAAACCAGUCUCUUGUGUGACAGAGGCACAGUGUAAGAGUGAGACUCCAAUUGGAAAAGGUCUGAAAGACCCAAACCCUCGGGUCCUUCUGAAAACUCCCCACUGCCCAUCCCGUGUGAGAGGAAGCCGUUCCUUCCUUGCGAGAAGGGUGCUGAAGAUUCCCUUCCGUGUUAUGAGGCCAGUAACCAGAAUUCAACUCUAUGAUGCCCCAGCAGGUGUGGGUAGGUCUUGGCGGGAGGCCCCACUUACCAUUAUUUCAGUGGAGCUGUUGGACAUUUUGGGCACCAGGCAGUGCGUGAAUUGGAUUCUUGGGUCUUUGGUGGUGAUGGACAGACCUUUCUGCAGAAUUUUCACCAAGCGGAUCCAGAAUUGAAACACGGCCUCUGGGUGGUGUUCGUGGAGCCUCAGGUAGUAGAUCUUUUCAGUCACUGUCCUAACCCUCAGGAUGCGUUGGAGCCGGUCACAGAUUUGUAGCUCCACGAACUUCAGGGGGAGAAUCCUGGACACAAUCGGGAAAUCCCCACAGCAGAGGGGCCCAUGCAUUCAAUCAAUCAUGCGUGCCUACCUAGAGCCUGGCCCCAUCUCACUAGGCUCCCGCCUCUGCUUGGGGGAUGCCCAUGGAAGAAAGCUCAUGGUCUGGGAGUGGGAAUGAUUACUAAAACUAACUCUUCUCUGACUUUCAGGGCCUUCAUCACUAAAGAACCUGCCCACAUCAAUAACAAUGGCUGAUAGACGAUGUCUAACCUCUCAUUCAAUCCUCACACCCUUUGAUGAAAGAAAGCUGCAAAACAAUGCGGUCAUCCCACCCCUUCUGCAGCCUUUCUUUACCUGCUGAGGGUGACCACUGGAGCACAAUCAGGUGAGCUCCAGGUGGAAAACUGACCCUGGGGCCAGGUGACGUUGGCCAUCAGGAGGACGUUGGGGAGUGGCAAGGAGGGCACUGAGGAGGUCACCCCGAGGAUCACAGUGGUAGAACCUUCAUAGACAUCCAUCCAGCUCCCGGGCUUAGUGACCUGGAAAUCAGCCCAGGUACAUGGGUCAGGGAGAAAGAGGAAGACAAGGGUGGGAGAAUACAGGUGCUGGAAAGCAGCACUUUAACUUGGGGACAUGCUCGGAGCAAGUGUGCGGCACACUGGCCUGGGCAAUGACCAGCAUCCAUCCUUUUUGUGGGUCUCUCCAAAUAGACCAGCUCAUUGGCGACAGGAAACUGUGUUGCCCUCCUUUGCAUCCUCUGCAUUAUCCAACGUUAAAGGGAUGCGUUAGUAAGAAAAAGCUGAGAGGCAUUGACAUUUUAUUCCCCCAUCCUCGGGUAGAAGCAGCCAGCACAGGUUUCCUAUGAUCUGGAAGGGAGAUCGUGUGAAGAAGGUUCCAGAAGGGAAGGAGAGUGAGGAAAGAGCUAGUGAAUGGGGCAGACCCAGGCAGCCCAGCUUGAGGGACGACUGGGGAGCUUGCCGCAAGAUGAGGGAGGGCCCGGCUUGUUGCUAGAUCUCGUGAGAACCUGUUCUCUUGCAGCAUCAGAGGCAGCCCAGGGAGACUGGCUGCUUUGCACUGGGCACAGUAUUUCAGCUAAGACACGCCCGCCUCACUGUCCAGGGCGGGCAGAGAAGCCUCCAAGGAACCACAAGGACCAAGGUAAGGUCAACUUUUCACUCUGCCACGGGGCAGCUCCAGCAGACGGGCUUUGCCCUCCCCGGAACAGUCCGAGUUUCCUGCUGCAUGAAUCACUAAGUGUCCACCCAGAGAAUCUACACAGUUUUAAUAGCAGGUCAAAGAGAACGGAGUAAGAGAAUAAACCUCCUGCCAAAACCUCACACCCAGAUAGAAAUGACUGGAAUUUGCUAUCCGGAGUCUGGAUCUGCCACGUCCCUGCUCUUCCUCCGCUGAGACUGUGUUAGGAAGGAGCACGCCCGCGGGCUGCCAGCUGAUUGCCCCACUCUGCAGCCCCCUGGGAGCAGUGCAGGAACCGGGGAGCACUCGGAGCGGCGCACCGGCUCUUUGAAAUCUGGGGGGCUCCGUCAGGGAGUAGCUUGCUGCUCUGUGAACGCGUCUUCUAAUUGAGCUCAAAUUGUCUCCACUCUCUCCUGUGACUCCUCACUGCUUUGUGACCCCCAUCACAUGGAUUCCUGAACACAGACCCUCCCUAUGGGUUCUAGCCUCCCACUUUCACCCAGGUAACUGAAGUCCCUUGGCCUGCAGUGUCCUCCCUCUGCUCCUCCACUUACCAAAGUCUUAGGGAUACCUCCAAGAAGGGCUUCACCUCCUCCUCUGGGGAGCCUUCUUCAACUGCCAAACUCCAGAAAGUGCGCUGAACUCCCUGGACACUAGCACCCUUCUCUCUGCUCAUGCUUUAGGGAUGAGCUGGUCCAAACCACCUGCCAGAGCUUUCUUAGCAGUGACCAUGUUAUAACAUGCCCUUUAAAUUGACAAAUUCAUGAGCUCCUUGGCCAGGGAUACCAUCUGAUCUCUCUUUGCAUCUCCUGCCCUGCACACAGCACACAGCACACAGCACACAGACCAUGAGAAGCUGGUCAUGCGGCACUUGCAAAGGAGCACAGGUAUGCAGAUCCCAGCUAGACUUCUAGAGGGAGGUAGGUGGGCAGGCCCUCAGUAAGAUGUCACACGCACUUUUUUUUUUUUUAAGGUAAACUCUACCCCCAACAUGAGGCUUGAACUCAUGACCCCAAGACAAAGAGUCAUAUGCUCUACCCACUGAGCCAGUCAGGUGCCCCAAGAUGUCAUAUGACUAUCCCAUACUCCCAGUGGCCUCAUGCUUCCCAGGCCAAAAAUGCUAACUUCCAAUGGCCAUAGCACCACCUUUUAGGGGAUGUAGAAUCUGGGCAAGGCCGAUUCUAGGGGCUUGGCUCUCAAACAAGGCUAUUUCUAAACCAUCCCACGGAGAGAAGGUUGGGUUUCAGAUCAGGGAUUCUAAAAACAACCUUCAUUCCCUCUAACCAACCAUUCCUUCCCUAGUGGCCCAUGGACCCUGCCUGGAGGGUGAGCCCUGAGGUCCCCUUUUGCAGUUUGUAAUUCUAUUUCCUGAAAGCAUAUGACCUUCAAGGAGCCCCAUCAUGCUGUAGGCACAAACUGAGCUGAACUUGGGAUCCAGACCCUCUGGUUGUCCCUAGCCAUAGCAGCCUCCUUCUCCUCCCCAGGGCUUUCAGAGGCCUUUUUGGACCAGCACUUUUGGACCAACCCUUAGGAACAAGUUCUGGAAAGCGAAAGAAAGUGGGUUCUGAGCUGCACACAGGUACC